rnacentral:rRNA from 1 species
GGAUUCCCCUAGUAACUGCGAGUGAAGCGGGAAAAGCUCAAAUUUGAAAUCUGGCAGUUUUCAACUGUCCGAAUUGUAAUCUAGAGAAGUGUUACCUGUGCGGGACCAUGUACAAGUCUUCUGGAAUGAAGCAUCAUAGAGGGUGAGAAUCCCGUCUUUGACAUGGACUACCUUGUACAUUGUGGUAUGCUCUCAAAGAGUCGAGUUGUUUGGGAAUGCAGCUCAAAAUGGGUGGUAAAUGCCAUCUAAAGCUAAAUAUUGGCGAGAGACCGAUAGCGAACAAGUACCGUGAGGGAAAGAUGAAAAGAACUUUGGAAAGAGAGUUAAACAGUACGUGAAAUUGCUGAAAGGGAAACGCUUGAAGUCAGUCACAUUGGCUAGAAAUCAGCCUUGCUUCUGCUUGGUGUACUUUCUGGUUGAUGGGUCAGCAUCAAUUUUGACCACUGGAUAAAGUCUCUGGGAAUGUGGCAUCUUUUUUGGAUGUGUUAUAGCCCAUUGUCGCAUGCAGUGGUUGGGAUUGAGGAACUCAGCACGCCCUGCAAGGGGCCAGGUUUCUACCAUGUUCGUGCUUAGGAUGCUGGCAUAAUGGCUUCAAUCGACCCGUCUUGAAACACGGACCAAGGAGUCUAACAUGCCUGCGAGUGUUUGGGUGGAAAACCCAUGCGCGCAAUGAAAGUGAAAGUUGAGAUCUCUGUAAAGGGAGAGCAUUGACGCCCGGACCAGACCUUUUGUGACGGAUCCGCGGUAGAGCAUGUAUGUUGGGACCCGAAAGAUGGUGAACUAUGCCUGAAUAGGGUGAAGCCAGAGGAAACUCUGGUGGAGGCUCGUAGCGAUUCUGACGUGCAAAUCGAUCGUCAAAUUUGGGUAUAGGGGCGAAAGACUAAUCGAACCAUCUAGUAGCUGGUUCCUGC